UACGGAGGAUCCGAGCGUUAUCCGGAUUUAUUGGGUUUAAAGGGUGCGCAGGCGGGAGAUUAAGUCGGCGGUGAAAUUUUGCAGCUCAACUGUAAAAGUGCCUUCGAAACUGGUUUCCUUGAGUGUAGAUGAAGUAGGCGGAAUUUGUGGUGUAGCGGUGAAAUGCAUAGAUAUCACGAGGAACUCCGAUUGCGCAGGCAGCUUACUAAACUACUACUGACGCUCUGGCACGAAGGCAUGGGGAUCAAACAGGAUUAGAUACCCU
rnacentral:rRNA from 1 species